CACCUAAAAGCUAGCCCUCCCCAAAAAACAACAACCAAACAUUAAUAACCCCAAAAACACCUAACCAAACAAAACAAACCAUUUUUCCUCCUCAGUAUAGGCGAUAGAAAAGGACCACGGAGCUAUAGACAAAGUACCGCAAGGGAACGCUGAAAGAGAAAUGAAAUAACCCAUUAAAGUAUAAAAAAGCAGAGAUUACCCCUCGUACCUUUUGCAUCAUGAUUUAGUUAGCAAAAUUUAGGCAAAGAGCGCUUUAGUCUAACACCCCGAAACUGGAUGAGCUACUCCAAGACAGCCUAUAAUAGGGCACAUCCUUCUCUGUGGCAAAAGAGUGGAAAGAGCUUUGAGUAGCGGUGACAGACCUACCGAAUCCAGUAAUAGCUGGUUGCCCGAAAACUGAGUUUAAGCUCAGCUUUUUGGUUUCUUAACUCAUAACCCUUUUAACCAACCCGACUUCAAGAAACCAAAAAAGUUAGUCAAAGGGGGUACAGCCCCUUUGACACAAGAAACAACUUUCUUAGGAGGAUAAAGAUCAUAAUAACCAAGGUAAUGUGUCUAGGUGGGCCUAAAAGCAGCCACCCUAAGAAAGCGUUAAAGCUCAAGCACAACACCACCCCCAAUACUGAUAACCCAUCCUAACCCCUAAUCCCUACCGGGCCUCUCUAUGCACACAUAGAAGAGACUAUGCUAAUAUGAGUAAUAAGGGGCCCGCCCCCCUCCUGGCACAAGUGUAUAUCAGAACGAACCCCCACCGAAAUUUAACGGCCCCAAUAAAAGAGGGCAGUGGGAACUAAACUAGAUAACUAGAAAAACCCCCAAAAAACACCGUUAACCCCACACUGGUGUGCUCAACAGGAAAGACUAAAAGAAAAAGAAGGAACUCGGCAAACCCACAGGCCUCGCCUGUUUACCAAAAACAUCGCCUCUUGCAAAAACAACGCAUAAGAGGUCCUGCCUGCCCUGUGACUAUAUGUUCAACGGCCGCGGUAUUUUGACCGUGCAAAGGUAGCGCAAUCACUUGUCUUUUAAAUGAAGACCUGUAUGAAUGGCACGACGAGGGCCUAACUGUCUCCUUUUUCAAGUCAAUGAAAUUGAUCUUCCCGUGCAGAAGCGGGAAUAAACACAUAAGACGAGAAGACCCUAUGGAGCUUUAAACACAAAACAGACCACGUUAAACAACCCCCAUACAAGAACAAACUAAGUGGCCCCUGUUGAAAUGUUUUUGGUUGGGGCGACCGCGGGGCAACAAAAAACCCCCAUGUGGAAUAAAAAUACCUUUUUUAAAACCAAGAGCCACUGCUCUAAGCAACAGAAAAUCUGACCUAAUAGAUCCGGCCAAGCCGAUCAACGAACCGAGUUACCCUAGGGAUAACAGCGCAAUCCUCUUUUAGAGCCCAUAUCGACAAGAGGGUUUACGACCUCGAUGUUGGAUCAGGACAUCCUAAUGGUGCAGCCGCUAUUAAGGGUUCGUUUGUUCAACGAUUAAAGUCCUACGUGAUCUGAGUUCAGACCGGAGCAAUCCAGGUCAGUUUCUAUCUAUGACGUGACUUUUUCUAGUACGAAAGGACCGAAAAGGAGGGGCCUCUGCUUAAAGCACGCCCCACCCUCACCUGUUGAAAUUAACUAAAACAGGCAAGAGAGCACAAAGCUCAGCCAAAGAACAUGACUU
rnacentral:rRNA from 1 species